ACGAAAUGUGUUUAAGAGUUCAACUCACAAAUUUAGUUUAUUUCUCUACCUAUAAGUAGAGAUUUGUAGAUUCUUAUAGGUAGAGAAAUAAACCAAAUUCCAACUGCUCCUUAUGCUCAUUCCUUUAGGUGUUAAGAGUGGGAGAGGGAAGGCUUGACAAAUUUACUGAAAGAGGUAUGGGAGCGUGAAAGCUUUAGACAAGGUACAAAGAUCCACUCCCAGAAAGAGAAAAUCUGAAAGAAGUUCCAAAACAUUGAUCAUAGGUUUGGAGUUUGAUAGUUCACAGCUCUAUGUAUAGAGAAGAGCUUAAAGGUAAGCAGUGCCAGAAUUGGUAGCUUUAAAUUAUAAGCAUUGCCUCAUAAGGGAAACAUGAAGACUUGGAGACAUGGCAGUGAAGACUUGGAGACAUGGCAGUGAAGAAGAAGAAAGAAGAAAAAAUUCUUCAGGAAAAGAAAAAAACUGAACUUAGAGAAGAGGGUGUUCUCGAACUAGGAGCUCUGCCUGUGAAAUGAACAGAAAUAGAAAAGAGCAGGCCACAUCCAUACAGAACUGUAAGAAAAAACAAACAGGAAAUGUGAAUCAGCAUUUCAACUGAUGAAAAUCUACCCCCAUCAAAAAAAGCAGGAAAAAAUUGACACAAUGCUCCAAGUGAAAUUAAACAUCCUCAAACCAAUGUUUGGAGAUUUGAAAAAUAAAAUCAAGAAAUAUUCUGAAACAAAUAUAAAACUCAGAACAGAAAGGGACAAAAAGCAUUAAGAAAUGAACACAAAGUAGAUUAAACAGAAAAAUAGAAGAUAAAAUCAUAACUAAUAAUGAAGUUUUAACAUUCCCACAGGACAAAUUCAAAUUCAAAUUUAAUAAAAAGUAUUGAAGAAAAGCAGGAAAACAGGAUAAUUGAGAUGAGAUUUUUGUUUUGAAAAUUGACCAAGUUGAAAUGGGAGAUGGAUCCAAAGUCUACUGUAUAUAAUUGGUGUCCUUCAAGAAGAGAAAAUAUUUAAAACUAUAAUCCAAGAAAACUUUCUGGAAAUGAAAAGAGAUCUGAAUCUAUACCACAGAAGUUCAUACCAGAAGACACACUCAAAGAUAUUUCCUAGUAAAGCUGUAUGACUAAAGAUGCAAAGAAUUCUCAGGGUCUCCAGGCAAAGACGUGACAUAGAGGCAAGAGAAUUAGACCAGUGUCAGAUUUCUCAAAAGCAACAUAACAGAGCAAGACAGCGGAGCAGCAUGAGGAAAGUGACUGCUAGCCAAGGAUUUUAUAUCCAGCUAACUGUUGUUCAGGUAUUAAGACUGCAGAACAACAGUUUGAACAUGCAGGAACUCAGGGAAUACUGUACUCGUUUACCCCUCCUGAGGACACUCGAAAAGGGUGACUUUCAUCUAAAAGAGAUAUUUGGGACAUUUCCUACAAAAAGAUUGUGACAAUAAGUAUUUCAGAUAUCUUUUUGAACUAAGAUUAAAACCAAUAGUAGGGACCUAGAGAAUAGAAUAGUACAUAAACAUUAUACAUUCUGACAAAGCAGAAAGAAUGUAACUAAAAUAUAAUGGGAUGGGAAAUAAAAGGAAAAACUAAGGCCAUGUGCGGUGGCUCACACCUGUAAUCCCAGCACUUUGGGAGGCUUAGGUGGGUGGAUUACUUGAGCCCAGGACUUCUAGACCAGCCUGGGCAACAUAGUGAGACCCAGUCUCUACAAAAAAAAAAAAAAAGGAUUUAAUUAGCCAGGCGUGGUGGCUUAUGCCUGUGGUCCCAACUACUCAGGAGGCUGAAGUAGGAGGAUCAUUUGAGCCCAGGAGGUCGAGGCUGCAGAGAGCUGUGUUUGCCUAACUGCACUCCAGCCUGGGCAACAGAAUGAGACCCUGUCUAGAACUGUUCUUUUCAGAACUAGAAUAAAAAUAAUUACUGUAAUUGAAGUAAUAUGAAGGAGUCAGAGGCUACCAUCUAAAACUGAAAGACCAAAUAGAAAAGAUUAGGUAAGAAAAAAAAAAAAACAGUGUACUGUAAAAGCUAUUAAUAUAAAGGUAAGCAUGAGGAAGACUUUCCAAAAUACUGAGAGAAAUUUUUAAAGGGACAAAGAAAACCAUGAUGGAACAGAAAAAAAGUAUACAGUACAUAAUGCACACCCCAAUGAUAAAAUAUAUGGAGAAUUGAGAGCAAACAUAAAGGCCAGGACAAAUAUGUACCGGGCAAAUAGAAACCCC
rnacentral:sRNA from 1 species